GCAAGUCGAACGGGAAACCUUUUAUUGAAGCUUCGGCAGACUUUAGCUGGUUCAGUGGCGGACGGGUGAGUAACGCGUGGGUAACCUGCCUUAUACAGGGGGAUAACAGUCAGAAAUGGCUGCUAAUACCGCAUAAGCGCACAGAGCUGCAUGGCUCAGUGUGAAAAACUCCGGUGGUAUAAGAUGGACCCGCGUUGGAUUAGCUAGUUGGUGGGGUAACGGCCUACCAAGGCGACGAUCCAUAGCCGGCCUGANAGGGUGAACGGCCACAUUGGGACUGAGACACGGCCCCAGACUCCUACGGGAGGCAGCAGUGGGGAAUAUUGCACAAUGGGGGAAACCCUGAUGCAGCGACGCCGCGUGAAGGAAGAAGUAUCUCGGUAUGUAAACUUCUAUCAGCAGGGAAGAUAAUGACGGUACCUGACUAAGAAGCCCCGGCUAACUACGUG
rnacentral:rRNA from 1 species